rnacentral:lncRNA from 1 species
GGGUGUGCCUGAAACAUUCUCCCCUGUACUUUCUCCCACACUCAGGAGACGAGAGCUUAACCUAUUGGUACUUCGGGGGUAAUGCUGUGCACACUUCAAAAAUAGAAUCUGGAAGCAGAUAAGUGUAGAUGGUUGAGAAUAGGAUUCGAUUUUGUGAAAGUUGUCCUUGGACACAUGUGUAUGUGUGUGAGUGUGUAUGAGUGUGAGUGUAUGUGUCCGAGUGUGUGUGAUUAUGUGUGUGCGUGUCUUUGUGUGAUAAUGUGUAUGUGUGUGAAUGUGUAUGUAUGUGUGUGUGUGAGAAUGUAUAUGCGUGUGCAUGUAUGUGUGUAAUAUGUGCCUGUAUGUGAGUGCUUGAGAAUUUGUAUGUGUGUUAGUGUGUGCACGUGUGAGUGUCUGUGUGUGUAAGUGUGUAUAUGAGAGAAUGUGGGUGUGUGUAUGCAUAUGGAGGCCAGGGGUUGACAAUCCAUGUCUUCCUCAAUCACUCGUCACCUUAUUUCCUUGAGGCAGAGUUUCUCACUGAUCAUGAACCUUGCUCCUGUCUCCAGUAACACUCUGCAGUGUUACAGUGCCUGGCUGUUUGUGUGAAUUUGGACCCUCAUGUUUGCGUGGCAAGCGCUUUGCAUCUUAAGCCAUGUCCCAGCUCCAGCCUCCUGGCUGCCUUCCACUCUUGUCUCCUGUGUCACAGCUGAGUGCAUCUAUGAUUUGAAUGAUGAUCACAUGAGCUACCGAGAGGACAGGCACGUGCAACAGGCACGUGCCACCAUUUUUCUAAGGAUGUUUGAAGACAGGCUGUGGAAUGUUGUCUCCCUAUUGUGGCAGCCAUUACCACCUUCAUCAGGGCAGCUGUGACUACUCUCAAGAGACCCUCAAGAUUUGACCUGCUGACCUUUUUCUCAUUGAAGGAGGGGCCGGGG